UUCACAGUAACUGAGCAAACUGGAGUCCAGAAGAAGGCUGUGAGACCACACAUCAGUCUGCCAUUAUUUAUUCUUGUCAAGGAAUCUUGCAAACAUUAUAGUGUUAUUUUUACAAUGUCUACAUCCUCAAAGUAUGGCUAAACUAUAGCAACCACCAAAGGAUUGUCAAGAAAGAUCUGAAAGGCUCACAGAAGCAAAAAGAAACUUGGAGUUCAAGUCCAGGGAUUGAAAGAACACCACUGAGGUACUACGCCACCGGCUGAAGUCUAACUUGGUCAAAGGAAAGGGAUGUAAAGUUCGGCAAAAUCAUUCUAGGAUACAGAGUAUUUACCCUGGAAUCCCAAAUGUCUGGUGAUCGAUCAGCUCCAUUGUAUUCUACUGGAGAAGGUGUAACAUUUCAAUGGGCGAUGAUGGGUGCAAGAGGACAAUUGGUGAGGAGGAGUUAUUGCUGUGGUCACUGAACAGCAUUCUCAUAUAGUCUCAAACUAUAGUCUGUGACCAAGUGGCAGGAGGGCUUGGCCUAGGUUGCCAGAUUCUCCCACAAAGUUUACCCAGAAUUACCACAAACUCAGGCAAGAUUCUGGACUAGCGGGGUGUCAGCAAUAAGCAGCAGAUGUUAGCUUUUGGUACCCUUCUCCUCAACCUUUGAAGCUUCUGGAGGAGCAUGAAUCAGAUAACGCUAAUAUGUGAUCUAGGAACUUCACAUCCACAUGUAUGAGCUUCACUUAUAUAACAUGCUGGAACAAGCAAUUGGUAAGGGAGGGGUUAAUUCUACUCAAUCUGCUUAGAACUCUGGUACAAAAUCAGUAAGUUUUCAUCAGCUGCGCCAGAAUUCACUGUGUCAUCUAAGACCUUCUCUGUGACUAUCUGGGGUCAAUACCCCCUUCACUUGUAGUUGACAGCCUCCUCAUUCACAUUCUUUUCUGGCACAUCCUUAGACAAAUGGAUCCAUUGAAAAGCCAGGCACCCAGUCUUCCUUGCAUCUGAAAAAGAGAAAACAGAACUGAAUUAAUGCUUAACUGUGUAAAUAUAUCCAAUAGGAUAUUUUUUGCACUGGAACACGGGAACAUAGGAGCAGGAGUAGGCCAUUUGGCCCUUUGAGCCUGCUCUGCCAUUCAAUAUGAUCAUGGCUGAUCUGGAGAAAGCUAUGGCAAAGAUUGGGCUGAACUAUAAGUGAUGCUUUUGUACAUGUUGCUUGUUUAUUUUGAAUGAAGCAUCUGAUUGUAAUGAAGGUUAACUACCAUUAAACAUUUACAGAAUAAUAGUUGUUCUAAUAUUUUCUAUUUAUUACAAUAAAGGUGCUUAUCCCUUU